UUCCGUUGUCACUUUCAACUCUUAGGGUGGGCAACAGAGCAGGAGCCAAUCAACGGGACACUAUAAACUGUCCAAUCAGGUGGGCCGUAGCAAGAGGGCUGUUUCUUGCCUCGGUUUGGAAGUCUUGCGAUCCUUGCUGACUUCCCGCUGGCUAGAUCACCUCGCUCGGUGAAUUUUGCCAGCUACGAGCAGCGUGGGACACACUCUGGAAGCCACGCAAUGGGCAAUAGAUUGGCUUCACAUGGAAUGUGACUGAAUUUCAAAAAGAAGAAACCUGGAGCAGAGACCAACAACAGAUCUUUUCAAAGAAGAUAUAAUUAAUGGAGUGUGGUGUUGCAUGGUGGUAAUCUCAGCAGUCAGUAGGAUCACCAGAGGCAGGAGGAUCACCACAUGU